rnacentral:rRNA from 1 species
GACGAACGCUGGCGGCGUGCUUAACACAUGCAAGUCGAACGGUGAAGCGCCUUCCUUUUUGGUGGGUGUGGAUGAGUGGCGAACGGGUGAGUAACACGUGAGUAACCUGCCCCCUUCUUCUGGAUAACCGCAUGAAAGUGUGGCUAAUACGGGAUAUUCUGGGUCUGUCGCAUGAUGGGUCUGGGAAAGAUAUUGUUUCGGUGGGGGAUGGGCUCGCGGCCUAUCAGCUUGUUGGUGGGGUGAUGGCCUACCAAGGCGGUGACGGGUAGCCGGCCUGAGAGGGUGGACGGUCACACUGGGACUGAGACACGGCCCAGACUCCUACGGGAGGCAGCAGUGGGGAAUAGUGCACAAUGGGCGCAAGCCUGAUGCGGCGACGCCGCGUGAGGGAUGGAGGCCUGCGGGUUGUGAACCUCUUUCGCCAGUGAAGCAGGCCUGCCUCGUUUGUGGGUGGGUUGACGGUAGCUGGAUAAGAAGCGCCGGCUAACUACGUG